rnacentral:rRNA from 1 species
UACGUAGGGUGCAAGCGUUGGCCGGAUUUAUUGGGUUUAAAGGGUGCGUAGGCGGCCCUGUAAGUCAGUGGUGAAAUCCCAUCGCUCACCGAUGGAACUGCCGCUGAUACUGUCGAGCUUGAGGACAGUAGGGGAGAGUGGAACUCCUGGUGUAGCGGUGAAAUGCGUAGAUAUCAGGAGGAACGCCGGUGGCGAAAGCGACUCUCUGGGCUGUUCCUGACACUGAUGCGCGAAAGCUAGGGGAGCAAACAGG